GUGACGAGCCCCUCCCCCCUUCCCUCCACCCCUUUCGACAAAUCCUAGCUAGGCGCCUGACGAACAACGCAGGAUUGGUCUUAAUAAAGCGUAUCUUCUUUCAAGCCCCGUUCAACGGACUUGUAAGAAAUUGAUUGUGUACAGAGAAACUGGUAUUUAUUGGGUCUUUUGGUCUACCUGUGUACCUACGUAAAUGUGUAAACAUCUCGCGUUUGGCAAAAGGCCAUCUUAUAAUAUUCACAGUUUUGAUUUGGUUCCAACAAUACUUGACACUACUCGGCAAACACUGUUCCUAGACGGAUAAACUACCCAAAGCUCACAGACUUAAAGAUGAAUAAAACGCUGGUGAAUUGUGCUUGCUUCAGUUCGCCAUGGAAGUUUUUGAACUCCAGUUUUGGCGCGAGUUGUGAUGGCCAUUCAUUCUGGUUCGGAGAUGUCACGAGAAAGUAUUCCUAUCCUGGUUCGGUAUUUGGGCAGUGUUUUGGUAAGUAGUUUAGUUAUUUCAGUUUUUGUUUAAAUAAUACUGGCUUGAGUUAUGGCCGAACAUUCGUUUUCUUGAUUUUACCCUUUUAAAAAGAGCUAGAGUAAGCUUUUAUGCAAUAUUUUAAAAGCACUCUUUCCUUCUUAAUUGUACUUUUGUGUUGUUAAAUUAGUGCAGUGUAUACAGUGGCGGUGUGUAUUCUGUCCACGAUUUUGAUGUUUUGUAGCAGAAAGGUAAUAUUUUAAGAAAAUAAAUGAGAUAAUAUUUUUUAUUAUAAAAAAGAAAAGAAUAAAUAAAAAUCAGUUUGAAUUCAUGGCUACCAGCCAGGAGACACCAUUCCCACAAAAA